GAAUAAGAAGGAGAAAAUGGAAGAGGGAGAGGAUGCAGAGGUGGAGGAAAACAAAGAAAAGCAGAGCAGAAGCCCAUCGCCAGGGGAAACUGCAAGUUCUAAGGGGUCUCAUAAGCUGUGGAAGAUGGUAGCAUAGUGGUAGAUCUGUCCAAUCUUGGUGCACAGCAUGUAAUCAUAUUAACUGAGUUGUGUUUUCAUUGCUGGGGCAUAUUUUGGAGGAGAUUUACCUCAACACCAUGGUGUUACCACAAUGCUGGGCCGAGAUACCUGGCUUAUGACUACGUCAUUAACAAUAAAGUACCUGCUGUACAGCUGCCACGCUUGUCAUGAGUGCGCAAACAUUUGGAAUUCAGACCACAAGAAUGCUGUCUGAGUCUUCAGGCACCCAGUCAUCAGGGUCCAGGUUGAUGCCGCAGCAUGUCUUCCAACCCGCCUACCACCAGAGGGCAGCAGCGUACAUUCACAACAAUUGUUGAGAAAUCAGGAAGCCCAGGAAUCUUAUGUGUGGAUGAGGACAUAGCAAAAGGAGAAGCAUUCCAUACCACCUGCCUUCAUGCCUGCCACGCCCUGGGUUUGGGCCCCCAUCUGAACCAUCUCCUGCACAUAGCCAUGCAAUCAUAAUAAGGAAUCUCGAGAUCUGUGACAAUCUCUCUCUUCUCCC
rnacentral:lncRNA from 1 species